rnacentral:pre_miRNA from 1 species
GUGAGGAUGGUGUUCAGCACCAAGGACAGGCAUGCAUGGCUGUGUGUGGAUGGUGUUCAGCACCAAGGACAGGUAUGUUUGGCU